rnacentral:rRNA from 1 species
AGUGAACGCUGGCGGUAGGCCUAACACAUGCAAGUCGAACGGCAGCACAGUAAGAGCUUGCUCUUACGGGUGGCGAGUGGCGGACGGGUGAGGAAUACAUCGGAAUCUACUUUUUCGUGGGGGAUAACGUAGGGAAACUUACGCUAAUACCGCAUACGACCUACGGGUGAAAGCAGGGGAUCUUCGGACCUUGCGCGAUUGAAUGAGCCGAUGUCGGAUUAGCUAGUUGGCGGGGUAAAGGCCCACCAAGGCGACGAUCCGUAGCUGGUCUGAGAGGAUGAUCAGCCACACUGGAACUGAGACACGGUCCAGACUCCUACGGGAGGCAGCAGUGGGGAAUAUUGGACAGUGGGCGCAAGCCUGAUCCAGCCAUGCCGCGUGGGUGAAGAAGGCCUUCGGGUUGUAAAGCCCUUUUGUUGGGAAAGAAAAGCAGCAGGUUAAUACCCCGCUGUUCUGACGGUACCCAAAGAAUAAGCACCGGCUAACUUCGU